GCGCCGCCUCGUCGUCCCCUCUACCUGCCGCCUAACCCUCUCCGCCGCCCCCGCUGCGCCGCCUCGUCCCCGCUGCCUGCCGCCCCGUGUCGCCGAUACCGCCGACCAGCGGAACGAUCUAGCUUGUUCUGCUCUCUCCCUCUCUCCGCUCUUCACUUUGCUUGCCCGGUUGGGAGGAGACAGAGCGCACAACUCCUUUGACGUGCUCCUGCAUAAUCAGGUCUAAAGCAAGUAAUAAUCGAUUAACUUGUCUAUUGUUGCGGUUCCCCCCGUUAGUCGUUCUUCCUCUACCAUGACUCCCCGAAGUCUCCCUCCGUUUGGUUCUUUCCCAAGAUAGUAGUUUCCGCUCCCUUGACCCCCCCAAUUUUAGUUAAGAGGGAGACACCCCUAAGGUGGUAAUCGUCUUUCUAGUUCCGUUACACUAUUGAAAUACUCCUGUAUAAAACACAGAUUUAGACGACUCAAUAUACUACACAUUGUACCGUCACAACGACUUACCUUCCUCCAUUAAACGAACGAGAAAGAUUUAAACAACCAAAGAAGUACGAUAUAACUAAUUAUAACAUUAUAAAUUAUAACAAAACAGCCGAGGGAACAACAACACUAGAAGCACAACUUUUCCGUCAUGCUUGUGAGCUAAUCUCCUAGGACGAUCCGGAGAGAUGGAGUAUCUUGAACUAUACCCAACGGAACAAGGAGAGUAAGAAUAAGAAGAGUCUUAAAUCCCAACCCGCAACUUGUAUGUACGUGUCCAACCAAAGUCAAAAGACACAUUUGACUUCGUCCCCUAUUCAGUUAUAUGUAUACAGCACAAGGUCUAAUCUUUAAUUCUCUUCUCUCUCUCUUUGCUAACCAAUCAUUUUAUACAUCGACGUUCAAAUGUAUCACCUUAACGACUGGUUUCAAAAAGAGAUUACAUGUAAAGCCUUUAAGGAUUAUGAAUUUUGAACAAAAAGUCGGGCAAAAGACAGUAGUCUUUUAUGUUUAUCGUAAAAAAAGUUAGUCAAUUGUCAUACUUGUCAGUCGAUUGUUAUGUUUAUACCAUCGUAAAAAGUCGGAUAAUGAAUGACUUACGCUCAGUAACCGUAAAAAAGUCAGCCAAUUGUUUGUCAAAAAGUCAAUCACUUGUUUAUCGUUGUGAAGUCUUCGAAAAAAUCUAUUCGAUGUCUCUAUUCGUCGUCAAAAAGUUAGUCAAUUGUUUGUCGUCGUGUUGUCAAAAAGUCAGUGGACUAGAAACAGGUUAAAAAAGAGCGAACAAUGUCCAGUGGUAACAUAAGCUGGACCCUUGGAUGUAUGUCUAAAAGUAGAUACUAUAAAGUCGUAGAAGAUACGAAGGUUAGACAAUUAAAUUAAAAUGAAUAUUUGCCGUGUUGGAAGGGAAGAGGAAAAAGCACACAUCUUAACUACUAACUACAUCAAAGUGACUUAGUUUUAUGACUACGGAAAAGGGAAGAGGAACUGUCGAAACGCUCUCGAUCCUUUCAUAACCACCUUAGAGUACUUCUUCUCUCUGUCUAUUACAAACUCCACUUAAGGAAGUGGACGGGACGAAUACCCUUUAAGACGUUACUACGGGUCGCCGUGUGGUGAGAGUUCAGACUCUACUUAAGGAAGUGGUCUCCAAGAGGAAGCACUCGAUGCAGUCGCGAGUCUUCCGUACGUAGCUUCGGGAACUGCCGACCAACAGGUCCAAGUAGGAUUGUCUGUGGUAAACAAUGAGGGCCCCCUAGAGGAACUAACGCGGGCUGUCCCGGCCGUGCGGCGGGGACCACCACUAGUACUCACCGUGUGGUACGACAGCUGCUGACCUAGCUAGGAGGAGUGAUCACUGAGGCCGUAUCCUGAACCGCUACCCCUCUCCAGCAAGUCGCGACGCCUCUCGACCACGGUUCUUGAUUGACAACUACACCUUAGUAUAAAUAAUUUAUUAAUAGUCAAACUGAAUAAGCGAACAUAAGUUUGACAUGACGUAAAAACAAACUCAGUACAAAAAAGUACAAGUACUAUCAAGAAUAUAUGACACGAAGAGUAUUAAACCCACCCUGAAAAAUAUCUC
rnacentral:rRNA from 1 species